rnacentral:rRNA from 1 species
GACGAACGCUGGCGGCGUGCUUAACACAUGCAAGUCGAACGGACAGACAGAGAGCUUGCUCUCUUGAAGUUAGUGGCGAACGGGUGAGUAACGCGUAAUCAACCUGCCCUUCAGAGGGGGAUAACAACGGGAAACCGUUGCUAAUACCGCGUACGAUUCAUGAACAGCAUCGUUUAUGAAUGAAAGGUGGCCUCUAUGUAUAAGCUAUCGCUGAAGGAGGGGAUUGCGUCUGAUUAGCUAGUUGGAGGGGUAACGGCCCACCAAGGCAAUGAUCAGUAGCCGGUCUGAGAGGAUGAACGGCCACAUUGGGACUGAGACACGGCCCAAACUCCUAUGGGAGGCAGCAGUGGGGAAUCUUCCGCAACGGACGAAAGUCUGACGGAGCAACGCCGCGUGAGUGAUGAAGGUCUUCGGAUUGAAAAGCUCUGUUAAUCGGGACGAAAGAGUUCUGCGUGAAUAAUGCAGAAAAGUGACGGUACCGGAAUAGAAAGCCACGGCUAACUACGUGCCAGCCGCCGCCGUAA